UACAGAGGUCUCGAGCGUUGUUCGGAUUCAUUGGGCGUAAAGGGUGCGUAGGUGGUCUGGUAAGUCGGAUGUGAAAUCCCGGGGCUCAACCCCGGAACUGCAUUCGAUACUGUUUUGCUUGAGGACUGGAGAGGAGACUGGAAUUCAUGGUGUAGCAGUGAAAUGCGUAGAGAUCAUGAGGAAGACCAGUGGCGAAGGCGGGUCUCUGGACAGUUCCUGACACUGAGACACGAAGGCCAGGGGAGCAAACGGG
rnacentral:rRNA from 1 species